rnacentral:rRNA from 1 species
CAACUUUCAGCAAUGGAUCUCUUGGUUCUCGCAUCGAUGAAGAACGCAGUGAAAUGCGAUAAUUGGUGUGAAUUGCAUCCAAGUAACUCUAAUUUACGAAUAACACCAAGUGAAUCAUCGAGUCUUUGAACGCAAUUGCGCCCUCUCGGUCGCUUCC